AGUGAACGCUGGCGGUAGGCCUAACACAUGCAAGUCGAACGGCAGCACAGUAAGAGCUUGCUCUUACGGGUGGCGAGUGGCGGACGGGUGAGGAAUACAUCGGAAUCUACUUUUUCGUGGGGGAUAACGUAGGGAAACUUACGCUAAUACCGCAUACGAACUACGGGUGAAAGCAGGGGAUCUUCGGACCUUGCGCGAUUGAAUGAGCCGAUGUCGGAUUAGCUAGUUGGCGGGGUAAAGGCCCACCAAGGCGACGAUCCGUAGCUGGUCUGAGAGGAUGAUCAGCCACACUGGAACUGAGACACGGUCCAGACUCCUACGGGAGGCAGCAGUGGGGAAUAUUGGACAAUGGGCGCAAGCCUGAUCCAGCCAUACCGCGUGGGUGAAGAAGGCCUUCGGGUUGUAAAGCCCUCUUGUUGGGAAAGAAAAGCAGCAGGUUAAUACCCCGCUGUUCUGACGGUACCCAAAGAAUAAGCACCGGCUAACUUCGUG
rnacentral:rRNA from 1 species